rnacentral:rRNA from 1 species
ACGGGAGGCAGCAGUGGGGAAUAUUGGGCAAUGGGCGAAAGCCUGACCCAGCAACGCCGCGUGAGGGAAGAAGGUUUUCGGAUUGUAAACCACUGUCCUUGAUGAAAAGAUGUAGAUGGUAAUCGAGGAGGAAGCCCCGGCUAACUACGUGCCAGCAGCCGCGGUAAUACGUAGGGGGCGAGCGUUGUCCGGAAUGAUUGGGCGUAAAGGGCGCGUAGGCGGCCCGUUAAGUCUGGAGUGAAAGUCCUGUUUUCAAGAUGGGAAUUGCUUUGGAUACUGAUGGGCUUGAGUGCAGGAGAGGUAAGUGGAAUUCCUAGUGUAGCGGUGAAAUGCGUAGAUAUUAGGAGGAACACCAGUGGCGAAGGCGGCUUACUGGACUGUAACUGACGUUGAGGCUCGAAAGCGUGGGGAGCAAACAGGAUUAGAUACCCUGGUA